rnacentral:rRNA from 1 species
CCUACGGGAGGCAGCAGUGAGGAAUAUUGGUCAAUGGACGAGAGUCUGAACCAGCCAAGUAGCGUGAAGGAUGACUGCCCUCUGGGUUGUAAACUUCUUUUAUAUGGGAAUAAAAUGUUCCACGUGUGGGAUUUUGUAUGUACCAUAUGAAUAAGGAUCGGCUAACUCCGUGCCAGCAGCCGCGGUAAUACGGAGGAUCCGAGCGUUAUCCGGAUUUAUUGGGUUUAAAGGGAGCGUAGGUGGAUUGUUAAGUCAGUUGUGAAAGUUUGCGGCUCAACCGUAACAUUGCAGUUGAAACUGGCAGUCUUGAGUACAGUAGAGGUGGGCGGAAUUCGUGGUGUAGCGGUGAAAUGCUUAGAUAUCACGAAGAACUCCGAUUGCGAAGGCAGUUCACUGGACUGCAACUGACACUGAGGCUCGAAAGUGUGGGUAUCAAACAGGAGUAGAUACCCCUGUAGUC